UCCACACUUUCUCCUAUAUAAGUUU
rnacentral:misc_RNA from 1 species